rnacentral:rRNA from 1 species
AGCAGCCGCGGUAAUUCCAGCUCCAAUAGCGUAUAUUAAAGUUGUUGCAGUUAAAAAGCUCGUAGUUGAAUUUCGGGGUUAGUAGGUUGGUCAUGCCUCUGGUAUGUACUGGUCUCACUGAUUCCUCCUUCCUGAUGAGCCGUAAUGCCAUUAAUUUGGUGUUGCGGGGAAUUUGGACUGUUACUUUGAAAAAAUUAGAGUGUUUAAAGCAAGCUAACGCUCGAAUACAUUAGCAUGGAAUAAUGAAAUAGGACGUUCGAUCCUAUUUUGUUGGCUUCUAGGAUUGACGUAAUGAUUAAUAGGGAUAGUUGGGGGCAUUAGUAUUCAAUUGUCAGAGGUGAAAUUCUUGGAUUUAUUGAAGACUAACUACUGCGAAAGCAUUUGCCAAGGAUGUUUUCAUUAAUCAAGAACGAAAGUUAGGGGAUCGAAGACGAUCAGAUACCGUCGUAGUCUUAACCAUAAACUAUGCCGACUAGGGAUCGGAUGAUGUUAAUUUUUUAAUGACUCA